rfam:Oryza nivara chromosome 7, whole genome shotgun sequence.
AAGAAGUGACCGACAUUAUCUUAGUGUAUAAUUAUUCGUUUAUUUAAAAAAUUUAUAAUUAGUAUUUUUAUCGUUAUUAGAUGAUAAAACAUAAAUAAUAUUUUAUGCGUGACUUGUGUUUUUAAUUUUUUCUAAAAAACUUUUUAAAUAAGACGUACGAUCAAAGUUUGGCAUGAAAAAUGCACUUAAA